CCCCCACCAAGCUGCCCACCAGAGGCCAAGCUGUACUUGGUGUUUGCCAACAUGCUGUAAUUUCCAGCCUGGUUGCUGUAGCCACAGAGGAAUUUUCAAGGACAAGAACCAGUGCUGGUAAAACUGUGGUCUCUGUGGUUUUCCAUACCGGCUCUCGGCAAGGAUUUUCAAGAAAGGAAUACCAUCUCCAAAUCAUGAUGUGCCAAUAAGCUCCAGUUAGCUGCGGCCUUUUCCCCUGGCGGUAGUCCUGCAAUCUGAAUCCAGGAGAUGCAGCUCUGAAUCCAAUAUUUCAGAAGAAUGAAGAUGAAGCAGACCCAGGAGGAACUGUCUGUUGAAGACCCCCCCCCCCCCCCCCACCAAGCUGCCCACCAGAGGCCAAGCUGUACUUGGUGUUUGCCAACAUGCUGUAAUUUCCAGCCUGGUUGCUGUAGCCACAGAGGAAUUUUCAAGGACAAGAACCAGUGCUGGUAAAACUGUGGUCUCUGUGGUUUUCCAUACCGGCUCUCGGCAAGGAUUUUCAAGAAAGGAAUACCAUCUCCAAAUCAUGAUGUGCCAAUAAGCUCCAGUUAGCUGCGGCCUUUUCCCCUGGCGGUAGUCCUGCAAUCUGAAUCCAGGAGAUGCAGCUCUGAAUCCAAUAUUUCAGAAGAAUGAAGAUGAAGCAGACCCAGGAGGAACUGUCUGUUGAAGACCCCCCCCCCCCCCCCACCAAGCUGCCCACCAGAGGCCAAGCUGUACUUGGUGUUUGCCAACAUGCUGUAAUUUCCAGCCUGGUUGCUGUAGCCACAGAGGAAUUUUCAAGGACAAGAACCAGUGCUGGUAAAACUGUGGUCUCUGUGGUUUUCCAUACCGGCUCUCGGCAAGGAUUUUCAAGAAAGGAAUACCAUCUCCAAAUCAUGAUGUGCCAAUAAGCUCCAGUUAGCUGCGGCCUUUUCCCCUGGCGGUAGUCCUGCAAUCUGAAUCCAGGAGAUGCAGCUCUGAAUCCAAUAUUUCAGAAGAAUGAAGAUGAAGCAGACCCAGGAGGAACUGUCUGUUGAAGACCCCCCCCCCCCCCCCACCAAGCUGCCCACCAGAGGCCAAGCUGUACUUGGUGUUUGCCAACAUGCUGUAAUUUCCAGCCUGGUUGCUGUAGCCACAGAGGAAUUUUCAAGGACAAGAACCAGUGCUGGUAAAACUGUGGUCUCUGUGGUUUUCCAUACCGGCUCUCGGCAAGGAUUUUCAAGAAAGGAAUACCAUCUCCAAAUCAUGAUGUGCCAAUAAGCUCCAGUUAGCUGCGGCCUUUUCCCCUGGCGGUAGUCCUGCAAUCUGAAUCCAGGAGAUGCAGCUCUGAAUCCAAUAUUUCAGAAGAAUGAAGAUGAAGCAGACCCAGGAGGAACUGUCUGUUGAAGACCCCCCCCCCCCCCCACCAAGCUGCCCACCAGAGGCCAAGCUGUACUUGGUGUUUGCCAACAUGCUGUAAUUUCCAGCCUGGUUGCUGUAGCCACAGAGGAAUUUUCAAGGACAAGAACCAGUGCUGGUAAAACUGUGGUCUCUGUGGUUUUCCAUACCGGCUCUCGGCAAGGAUUUUCAAGAAAGGAAUACCAUCUCCAAAUCAUGAUGUGCCAAUAAGCUCCAGUUAGCUGCGGCCUUUUCCCCUGGCGGUAGUCCUGCAAUCUGAAUCCAGGAGAUGCAGCUCUGAAUCCAAUAUUUCAGAAGAAUGAAGAUGUUAGUCAACUCUGUAGUGCUUGUUUGUGUGUAAAUGAUUCCAAUGAGUGAGAUUUAUAGCAAAUCAGGUGUAAAUAAGCAUCUUAUAGACAAUAGUGAAGUGCUGUACUCUGAAUUUAAUGCCAAAUCUAGCCUUCAAAACAGAUUCUUAAAGUAAUUUUUUUUUAAAAAUGGGCAUAAUAAUGCUAUCUCUGCAUUUUCUACAUCAUGUAGCCACCUCAUACAUGAAAACACUAGCAGUUGUCAUGAAUCUUUAAGUUUUGGUGUGUUUUUUGCCAUUUCCUUUGUUGCGCCAUUUGUCCCGGAAGCCAACAAUUUGGCAUAUAGUGUUGUUUAGACUGUCUAUUAACACAUUAUCACUAAAUUUCUUGUGUUAAACUGAACAGUUCUGUUAUCUUUGUAUAUAAGUGGACCAGAAAAGCAAAAUUUUGACAAGUUGAGGCAUUUCAGUUGGGCUC